UAGGGAAUAUUGCGCAAUGGGGGAAACCCUGACGCAGCAACGCCGCGUGAGUGAGGAAGGUCUUCGGAUUGUAAAACUCUUUUAUCUGGGAAAAAUGUGUACGGAGCUAAUACCCCGUGCAGUGAUGGUACCAGAUGAAUAAGCACCGGCUAACUUCGUGCCAGCAGCCGCGGUAAUACGAAGGGUGCAAGCGUUAUUCGGAAUCAUUGGGCGUAAAGCGCGCGCAGGCGGAUUUGUAAGUCAGGUGUGAAAUCUCGGGGCUCAACCCCGAAACUGCGCCUGAAACUACAAGUCUAGAAUGUCGGAGGGGGCAGGGGAAUUUCACGUGUAGGGGUAAAAUCCGUAGAGAUGUGAAGGAACACCGGAGGCGAAGGCGCCUGCCUGGACGACUAUUGACGCU
rnacentral:rRNA from 1 species